rnacentral:lncRNA from 1 species
ACAAUGGUUUACAUUUCCUUUUUAUUUAUUUCUUGAAACUGCCCAUAUUGCAGGUUUCUCAUGGAUGAAAUAUGGAACUGAGCAGAUUCUUUUUUCUACAAAAUUAUGGUAUAAACUUGCUCAAUUUUCUAUCUUAUUGCUAAUAAACCUUACAGGCGCACAGUUUGUAAAAUAAACCCCUUAAGGACUGAAUGCGUAGAGCAUGCUGCAAGGUACAAGAAAUAAGCUAAAAAUGAGCAUAAACCUACAUCUGGACCAACACAGUACUGAAUGCUGGCAAACAUUUAUCACAACACAGGGAAAAAUUAAUAAAAGGAAAUACAGUUCAUGCUUGAAAACAAAGUCAAAAGUCUGGC